UACGAAGGGGGCUAGCGUUGUUCGGAAUUACUGGGCGUAAAGCGCGCGCAGGCGGUCUUCCAAGUCAGUGGUGAAAGCCCGGAGCUCAACUCCGGAACUGCCAUUGAAACUGUUAGACUUGAGGACGAGAGAGGUGAGUGGAAUUCCCAGUGUAGAGGUGAAAUUCGUAGAUAUUGGGAAGAACACCGGUGGCGAAGGGCGGGUCUCUGGGCAGUAACUGACGCUGAGGAGCGAAAGCGUGGGGAGCGAACAGG
rnacentral:rRNA from 1 species